rnacentral:rRNA from 1 species
GUGGGGAAUUUUGGACAAUGGGCGCAAGCCUGAUCCAGCAAUGCCGCGUGCAGGAAGAAGGCCUUCGGGUUGAAACUGCUUUUGUACGGAACGAAAAGGCUCUGGUUAAUACCUGGGGCUCAUGACGGUACCGUAAGAAUAAGCACCGGCUAACUACGUGCCAGCAGCCGCGGUAAUACGUAGGGUGCAAGCGUUAAUCGGAAUUACUGGGCGUAAAGCGUGCGCAGGCGGUUUUGUAAGACAGACGUGAAAUCCCCGGGCUCAACCGGGGAAUGGCGUUUGUGACUGCAAAGCUGGAGUGCGGCAGAGGGGGAUGGAAUUCCGCGUGUAGCAGUGAAAUGCGUAGAUAUGCGGAGGAACACCGAUGGCGAAGGCAAUCCCCUGGGCCUGCACUGACGCUCAUGCACGAAAGCGUGGGGAGCAAACAGGAUUAGAUACCCCUGUAGUCC